GAAGGAAGCCGAGCCGCGGCGGCGGGUGGUGCGCUACGCAUGCGUAAUGCGGGCCGGAAGCGCCCCGGUUGCCGUGACAACGGCGUCGGCCCCGCGGCGCGGCCGAGGCGGAGCGGGCCGGGAGCCGGCGGGUCCCCUCCCGGUGCCCUCCCCGCCCAUGCCGCGGAAGGCGCUGCUCUGCGUCCUGCAGCUGGACGUCCGCUCGGUAACUUGCCCUGGCGUGCUGCUGAAAGACAAAGAGCAACUUUAUCUCAGUGUCUCUGUACUCGGGCAGUGCAAAAAAACCCAGUGCGUCCCUGCAGCGUUUCCACUCCUCUUUCACGAGAAACUGGUGUUUGAAAAGGCGUUUGCUGAUAUAGUUGAUCCUGGAGACCUUGUGGAGUUACUGGAACUUGACACCGCGGUACUUGAACUGAUACAGCUCGUUCCUCCAGUAGGAGAAAUUCUAGCUACGUAUGAAGAAAAUACAAGAGAUUUCCUGUUCCCUGACCCUAAGCUUACCUGUGGGCACCACGGUUUAGAUCGGGAGAUUUUAAUGAAGAGAUCCUCUUCUUUUCCAGGAAUUGCACCAAAAUUGAGAUUUUCUACAAGCUCCCUUAUUACUGAAAGUCUGUUAAGCUCAGGAACAGGUCACGUACAGGGUGAUUUGGAUUGGACGCAUCCCUCAACCCCAAAUGGAAAGCUGCGAACGAAGUUACCAAAGAAAAACACUCUUUCAGCUGAGAAAAGCAGGCCCGGCUUAGCACCAAAGAACUACCAGCAGCCUACUAUAGCUUCUAAAUCACGGUCUCCGUCUCCAUACACGAAAAGACGAAUGUGUGAGCUGUCAGAAGAAGCCAGGCAGCGACUGGCCCAUUUAAACCUCGGGCCUUACAAAUUCAGAAGAGAAACCGAUAAACCUCCAUUUGUAGUUAGACGGGUUGACCAACCGAGUCCUGGUAUUACACUUUCUACCUGGUGUCCCACACGAGAAAGCCCAGUAGAAGCCUGGACCAAGCUAGACCAUGAUCCGUCUCUCCUCGGCAGCUACAGGCCCAAGAAAGCCCACGUUCUCGGAGCAGUCGUUGUCUGCAGAGCACACGUAGCUGAGCCACAGGCAAGAUCUACUCACGCAAAAGACUUUGACAGUUGUGAUGUUUGCAAUGAGGAUGUGAUCUCAGCUCCACCCAACAGACUGUCCCAUUCUGCUGCUUCGUUGGAGCGUUCAGCACCUCCAGCAUUUCAGAAGCAUUCUCCCAGUUCUGUGCUAAAUCGAUCUUCUCUAAGGGAAAGGUUUAGCUCCGGUUGGCCUUCACCAGCAAAUGGAGAUGAGAUCCAUAAACGAGUGAAGAAUAUUUUAAGGACACACAGUGCUAGACAGCGCCUGAUAUUUGAUGAGAGUAACUCGUCAAAAGGAGACUUGAUUAAGACAAAAGAAUCUUCGCAUAAAGCGUCCUCAGCCAUGGGUGAACUGCAGAGCAGUAGGUACCAUAAAUCUUUAAUAUGCUGCUCCUAUGGUGGAAGCUUUUCAGAACCAUCUCUGUGACUGUGACAGGAUCGAAGUUUGUGAUUCUGGAACUCAAGCUUAAAAACAAACAAAAAAAGAAAAGGAGAAGAAGGAGCAAGAAAGCGGUGAGAACGGAAUACAUAUUACACUGUUUUCCUCUUGCUGGGCUUUGGGGCCGGAGGAAAGGGCUUGAGUGGCGGGUUGGCAGCAGUGGGGAGGAAACGCGUGCAGUCCUGACCUCGGGUCGGUCAGCAAUAAGCAGCUGGAGUGACAGGAGGGUAAAGUGGCUGGGCUGACAGGCAGCUCCGCUCCUGGGACUCUAUUUACAUACGGUUAAAACAAACACGAAAAGCUGCCUUUGUUCCCUGGGAAAAAAACCUCUAUUUACUUGGCAUUCAGCUCAUGUAUAAGCUGCAACUUCUUUUCAUGGAAAAUGUAGAAACAAAGCAACUGACAUUUCUGCUUUGAUGUGAGGCUGAAGCGAAGAUUUGAUUUUGAAAUAUGAAAGUAAACUGAAACUACUUCCAAUUUAAAGGUUUUUUUUUUAAUGACCUUAAAAGUUUUGAGAAGUUUUUUUCCCUCCCCUUAAGGACUGGAAGAAAUUAUAACAGUAAUCUUACUGAUAGCUGUAAGUCUACAGAGACAGUGGCUGUAGGUUAAUGAAAAAUUGACACUGCUGCUUGCCUGUGCUUCCAGCAGGAUGGGUUUUGCUUCGGCCCGAUGUGAACUAUCGCACUGCGUGAGCUGGUGAUGAGCCUCACAUAUUAAAUGGAAUGUGGCUCCUGUGGAAGCUACAGCUGAAGGCUUGGAACACCAUGCCUGCUCCCAACAAAUGCAGGAAAACUAUGGGGUGCUUAAAAUAGUUACCCUGGUCCUUCUCCCCCCCACACACGCACCCCCUUGGAAAUUAAGCUUGCUUAGUCUAAGCCAGAAAGUUGGCUGAGUGUCCCUGAUAAUCUCCAUUCCAGCGCUGAAUCCGGAGUAGAGUCAACCCAGCCUGACGGGUGUAUGGGAGAGGCCACACCGCAGUGACGAGUGUGCAAGUGCACUUGCUCUGAGGUUUUGGUUCGUGCUCUGAAAACUUCAUCUCUCUGUCUGUUGUCCUUGGCAUGGUGGUGCCAUCUGGUCUUCCUUGGCCAGCUUAUCGGUAAUACCGCACUGCAUGGUAUUGCAGUUUUUGCUUAUGAAAUAUGGCACAUGGAUACCUUGCUGCCAGCCUUUGACCAGAUGGCACAUGCUUAAAUAACAUCCCCCAUGUACUGGGGUGGAUACAUAGCGGUGCUGGAAAUUGCAGUGAGACAAGGGGAGAGAAGGCAUGAAGACAGUUCAGGUAUUAUGUGGGAUCUCAGGCCAGUAAUUAACCAGCUAUUGGAUGUCCAGAGACCUCUGUGCUCCCUUGAAGGACUUUGAAUGUACAAUGGACUCUGCAGAGCACUCAGUUCUGGUGCUGAGCGGCUGUUCUGGGGCAGAAGCAUUCUCCAUCUCUCCUGCAGGACUUUCAACGGGUCACAGAGAGGUGGUGACAAUGCGUCACUGGGCAUUAAGGUACCCCCGGGAAAAGGCAGCGCUGUGUGCAGGGGAGGUUGGGGCUGUGAUUCACCUGCUCCAGAGGGGCCUGUGCAAAAAUCUCAACUUGUUGUGACACCAACAUUUUACCCAUGCUAAAAAAAUCACGUUUAUUGCUCCCUGUCUCGCCUUCACAAUUCCCUGUAAUUCACUGUUACUGCUCAAGGCAAACAAACUCAAAGCUGUUUAGAACCAGCUUUGUGGAAUCACCGAGGCUGGAUGACACCGUCCACAUUACGCUGCCUUUAGUCUGAAAUGGGGAAAAUAAACGUAACCCAGUAAACAAAUAUAUAGGACUGUGGGAUGAGAGGCUUGAAUUUGGUUUUUGCACCUACUACAUUUUAUCCUUUGCUACUUCCUUGUGCCAUUAUCUCAUUCUUUGCCUUUCCAUGAUUAGGAAGCCCUGGUUUUCUGUGUGCACUGCCUAUGAUUUUUAUUUAGGUGGUGCAAGAUCACAACAGACAAAUGCUUAAUGUAACAGAAGAGGCUUGAUGAGCAUCCAGUUGAAAGCUGGAGGGAGAUGCGGUUGUACUGGAAAUAAGAGACACACAAACGCACAUUUGGAAAUCCUCUUGCUGAUACGUAGCAUUUGGAAACCACUACAGCUUGAGGUUAGCAGGGUUUUCUUUUGCCUGAGGUUUAAAACAUUGCUCCUGACCUGGCAAGCAGGUGAGAUGAAUCCACCGAAGGUAAGCAGUUGACUUCAUUAUUUGUAGUAGAAACACUUGUGUACAUAAUUCAAAAUAGGUUCUAAACAAUCUUCUCUCCCCACCAGCAAGGAAGAGGAGCAGUUUACUGGUGUUGGAAGCACUUGAGAAAGGGGUAAGUGAGCUGCAGUAUUUGAGGGGGAGCCCCUUCCAGGCACAAGGCUUUGGAGGGGAUUGGUGGGAUUCCCAUUGCCAGAGCUGUCACGUCCCAGAGCCAGGCGCGUGGGCACAAUCCUGCGGAGACACGGCCAUGGGUACCUGCACCAAAACGGUGCUCAGAAGGUAAGCUGGUGGAUGUGAACAAAGCAAUGCAAAGGCAAAAUUGAUAUUAAGUUUUGCACUACUAUUCACAACAACAGUAGGAGGGAAUUCUGAUGGGUUCCUUGAUGUGUGUUUAUUGUUAUUAUAUGCAAAUGAAGGGAAGGAAAUGUGAGAAGAGAGUGCAGAAGAAAGGAAACUAACACAUGUAAAUGUAUUGAGUUUGUUUCUUGUCCCGGGCACCAGCAGUGCAGAAUGGCACUUGUCAGCCCGGGUAGGAUCUGCUUUAACCCAGCAAUAGGGACUCCCUGCUGCUCCUGGUCCCAGACGAUGAACCCGAAGAACCAGAGAAAACACGGUGCCCUGUUUGCUAACCCACGCUCCACCCUGCGAAAAUGCAUGUGGUUUCAUUUCUUUGCUUUGUAAUAAACUGCGCCCACCAUAGUGUAUAUUCUUUUAAAUAACAUUUUAAAAUAUUUUCCGGUAAAUUAAAGCAAUGACAUGUUUGUGGGUUCAUUGUUAAUUUCAUUUCCUUUGGCUCAGCCAGCCAGAUAAAAUGCAACGUUAUUAAUCUUUGUUUAAAAGAAGAUCCUUUGCUGAACAGUAAUAAAUGAUCUUGAUAGAUUUGUCAGGAAAAUGAAUGAUAAUCAUUUGCAGAUAGACACAAGCCUAGUAUGGAAGAUUAAUAAGAAAAUAUGUAUUGGCAUCAUUAAUAACAUCUGCUGCCAAUGGGCUUGUAUAUUGGUUACAGCUCUGAAGGCGAUGUGAUCUUGUUGGGCUAUUGCAAUUCAUCACGCGCGGUGCGUGAGGCUGUGCGGUGCUCCCGGGCGAUGACAAGUGCUCCCCGGGACGGGCUCGUGAGCAGCCUGAGGCCACAUCCGCCAUCCGAUGAGCCUGUCGUCACCCAGUGUGGCAGUUCUCAUCCGCCCCCGCCUCGAGAACUGCAGCCUUCAAUGGGGCAGUUAAGGGCUCUUUUGUGGGAGUUGGUUGACAGGGUCAUUAGCAGAGGAGGGGCCCCGAGAAGCUGGGAAGCUUCUGGAAUGCCCACAGCUAGAUCUCAUCAGACUAUAAAACAGUGUUCCCUCUGAAGAUCCCCUUUGUGUGGUCUUCUCGGAGCAGCGGGUCAGUGCUGGAGCCCUCCCUUUAGACUGGGACGCCGUCUAAGGAACCUUCCCGGGAUUGGGAGCGCCUCACCUCCUCCUUUGGGUGAGUGAUAAUUUAAGUCCUUGCUGAUCAGGCAAGUGUAGCCCUGGCUGAACCAGGAGAGUAGAGUAUAGUCCUGGCCGAACCAGGAGAGUGUUUGGGUACCCGGGGCAGAGGGCUCUGGUUUUAUUUCUUGUGAGUCCAUGCAUGCACACUGUGGAUCCUCAUUAUUCUCAUUUGUUGCACCCUGAUAAUCUUCUCAACUGAUAUCCGAACCUUUAUCUUAUGCUAUGGAAGUGCUAACUAACUGUAUAAGCCCUGUUUUGGUUGGUUCAUUGGUUGUACUUUUCCGGCCAGAAUAAAGACCAUUUUGCCACCUAAAACUGACUGUGGGGUCCCUCCGUGACACUGAUUCUGCUGGCACUGACUCCCCACCUGUAUUUCCUAAAAACUCCUCCACAGCCCAUGAAUUUGCUCAUUCUUUGCUUGUGGGGCUGCGGCUGCUGCAGCCACAGAUCAUCCUUGUUCCCCGGGGAGCUCGGCCCGCACGGCGUGGGCUGGUGUUUGACGCACAGCCUCGCUCAAGGUCUGCGCUCGUCCCGCCUCACGUAUCUCUAAAAAGGUUCCUGCAGAGCCUGCUUGUACGUCUUCAACUGACACAGCUCUAGAAAGUGCCCGUUCCACCGCAGCACAAUGUGUUCAGAGAUAAAGCUCUUCACAGGUGCUGCAUGUCACUGUCAUGGGCUUUGGGGUUUUGGCUUUGAUCAUUCCUGUUAGGAAAAGAGUGUUUUAUUUGGGUGAGAGCCCUGGUAUUUCUAAAUGCAUUAGAAAUGUGUCUGUUAUUAUUAGACAUUUGCCAGCUAUUAAUCACAGCUGGUAACUUGAUUUCCUCUAAAUGUUUUCAGGUACCCUCUGAUCUGGCCACCACCUGCUCUAAAUUGAAUAGUGGAAAGGCAAGGCAAGCUCUGGUUCGUGUGCCUCAUCCUGCAGGGAUGGGUGGCCCAUUGAUGGGGCUGAGAUCUCUCUUAUUCAAAGUAAAUCUACUUUUUUUUUCUCUUAGACCUUUCUCUUGAGUUCCAUGAGCACAGCACAGACUCCAUCCUGCACGGCUAAUUCGGUCUCCUCCAUCCAGACUGAGGAUGGGCAGUGGAACCACAAGCCAGGUGGGCCCAGAGCCGCGUUUCUCCUCUCCUUGCUGGAUCAUGACUCAUUUUCUUCAUCUUUAGGGCACUGUGCUUCACCGCGUGCCCUCGCCUCCCCACGCAGUGGAACUUCUCCAGGGAAGCUAAGCCCUGCAGUCAUUUCCAGCAAGCAGUGCCUCCAGGGAAGGGCUGCGCCACCGCGUGCUGGCACCUCGGGGGACCAUCGUGAGUGUUGUUGUCAUCCAGCGCCUCCAGCUUAGACAUGAAGAUGAGGACCUCUGAGAAAAACCAAAGCCACGUGGUGCCUGAACCCACCUCAGCCGAAGUAAGCCCAUAGAAAGACGUUGAUGGUGAGCAGGAGAAUCGCAUUAACAUCGCAAACGGUCUUCCACAGGGCCUUCUCCUCGAUGCUGGAAUGACAGCUCUUCUGAACCAUUCAGAGGACUGUAACGUGAAGGGAAAUGCUAGAAAAAUAUGUUGGAGGAUCAAGAACAGCAACACUGUCAUUUGUCACAUCCUCAUAACUGGUAUACUUGUAAGUACACGCGCCAGCUCCAGUCAUCACAGCAGAUGGCCUCUCAUGAGCUUUAGAGGGACUUGCAUGAGCUCUUGGCUGUGCACUCACAUGCACACGAGUGUGCUUGUUCACAGCCAGCCACCCUACCUGCCUCCUCCUUAGCGCCUGAACCUGCGCUUUCCACCAAGUCACUCUCUCCGUUGGCCGCGUUGAUCUGUGCUGCUUCGCUCUUGUAAUUCUUCAGGUCAAUGGCAGGUGCUCUUCUGUGUCUCGUCCACCACGUCAGGCAAGUGAGCUGCAAAGACAGACAGCGAACAAUCAGGUUACUACCUGCCAGUCCCAAAGUGGCACACCAGUUUUCUCCCUCUUUGGUGGGCACCAAUCCAAGACUGUGCUGAGGAACCUGUUGUGGGGCGACGUUUGUUCCCCCACUUUCUUGCACCUCUCUUCUGCACAGGUGCCCACAGCCUGGGAAAAAAAAAAAGGCUGGUACCAUCUAGUUGGAGCUGAAAAGCUGAGAAAAAGUGUGAAUUAAUCUAGUUUCUUUCCUUAUACUUUCUUAAAUUAACCUAUUCCAUCCCUGUCUCUACCUUUUAGUAGACAGUGAAGAAGCAGCUUCCUAUUCACUAGGAUUACUUGAUUGACAUUAAAUAAUGAUGAUCUGUGUCCAGCAUGGCAGCAGUGCAACUGGGAAGGGUAAUGAAGUCAACUAAAGAGAAAAAGGAAGCCAACACAACCCUCUCUGGAUACAGCCCAUCACACACACAGCAAUGGUACCUUCAGCAGAGAAAGAUCAGCUGAGUGUGGGCAUGCAGAUGUAUGGCCAAAGGGGACACUGGUAUUUGAGCAGCUUCUUCUCUGGGACAUGGGAAAGGACUUGAGGAUCUUGUGUCUCACCUGAGAUGCAGGUUUCCAGGAAACCGCGCAAUGUCCAAACUGUUACAGCGUGAGCAUUAAACGCCACAGUUAGGACAAGCUCUCAUCAGAGCAGCAACCUGCACUUCCAAACGAGCUGAUCUCAGGGCUCACAGUGGGAAAAGCAGCAAUAUUGUGUCUUUGCUCUCUGGCUGCGUGUGGUUGAGAAGCACAACUGUGUGGGCAGGCAGAGCCAUGAUGGUGAAUAUUAACUCACAGUUCGCUGGGAGGAUGAUACCAAGCAUUAGACCAACAGUUUUUCUCAGUUGGGCCAAUACAAGACAUUACCUCCCUCUGCAGUCUUUCAGGACCAUCAAAAGCCAUGAACAACCAUCAGUCCUGGAAAUGCUGCUGGGGCUGCUACCUGCUCUGCUUUACAAAAUCAGGAGGUCUGAAACUCUUAAG